rnacentral:rRNA from 1 species
AUUGAACGCUGGCGGCAGGCUUAACACAUGCAAGUCGAGCGGGGAAAGGUAGCUUGCUACCUGACCUAGCGGCGGACGGGUGAGUAAUGCUUAGGAAUCUGCCUAUUAGUGGGGGACAACGUUCCGAAAGGAACGCUAAUACCGCAUACGUCCUACGGGAGAAAGCAGGGGACCUUCGGGCCUUGCGCUAUCAGAUGAGCCUAGGUAGGAUUAGCUAGUUGGUGGGGUAAUGGCUCACCAAGGCGACGAUCCGUACCUGGUCUGAGAGGAUGAUCAGUCACACUGGAACUGAGACACGGGCCAGACUCCUACGGGAGGCAGCAGUGGGGAAUAUUGGACAAUGGGCGAAAGCCUGAUCCAGCCAUGCCGCGUGUGUGAAGAAGGUCUUCGGAUUGUAAAGCACUUUAAAUUGGGAGGAAGGGCAGUAAGCUAAUACCUUGCUGUUUUGACGUUACCGACAGAAUAAGCACCGGCUAACUCUGUGCCAGCAGCCGCAGUAACAC